AGGUUAGAACAUCACAAAGCAAAGGAGCAUGGUGCUGGGUGCAGGGUGUGUUUAAAGCCGUCUCUGGUGCCUGCAGAACUGAAAACACUGUCAAAACAACCACCUUUACUUCAGUACUGAGACACACCUAAAGGGUCAAAUCAGCUAUAAAAACAGCAGUACAGGAAUUUAGGAGGCAGAGUUGGGGUGUCUAAAAACAUCAUAAUGUCAGGAUACGACCGUAUUUUGUCCAUUGAAAAUUUGAGUGAUGUUCCGAAUCCAUGGAAAGGUUUAACUAUGAACCGCUGCCUAGUGCUGGCUCUGGUUGUACUGCUGGUGAGCUCAGGAGUCAAUGAACUGCACGAUGCAAUGGAUUCUUUUGUUGAGGAGACAGGAAUAAGGUCUUUCGUUGGAAGUCUGCAGGAUGGUUCAAUAUUUCAGAUCUCACUAUGGGACAAUUUCAUGUGGUGGUGGGGAACUGAGGAACUCGGAAUGAUAAGAAGAAGAAAAAAGCCAAUUGGCAACAAAUCAAUCCUGAAACCCAAACCUAAAGUAUGAUUUGAAAAAAUAAAUGUAAUAAACAACAUGUUUCCAAAUAAAGAACCCAAAUACUCUUCAUGAUACCUUGCAUUUAAAGAUACCGAAUGUUACGUUUCAUCCAUUUUUGUUUAUAAAGCCAUUUCAUUUAUCAGACCGGACAAAUUAAAUCUACCUUUAGAAUUGUCAUUUACCGCCACAGUGUAACACAGUCUGAUAAUGUUUAUAAAAUGUGCCCUCGAAAACAUUGUAAUAAAACAUAUUCACACACAAA